GCCCGGUUAGCUCAAUCGGUAGAGUAAGUUAACACACUCACUAGUUCUCACAGACCCUUCAACUAACAACCCAUAGGCGUGAGACUCUUAAUCUCAAGGUUGCGGGUUCGACCCCCGCAUCGGGCU